ACGAACGCUGGCGGCGUGCCUAAUACAUGCAAGUCGAACGCUUCUUUUUCCACCGGAGCUUGCUCCACCGGAAAAAGAGGAGUGGCGAACGGGUGAGUAACACGUGGGUAACCUGCCCAUCAGAAGGGGAUAACACUUGGAAACGGGUGCUAAUACCGUAUAACAAUCGAAACCGCAUGGUUUUGAUUUGAAAGGCGCUUUCGGGUGUCGCUGAUGGAUGGACCCGCGGUGCAUUAGCUAGUUGGUGAGGUAACGGCUCACCAAGGCGACGAUGCAUAGCCGACCUGAGAGGGUGAUCGGCCACAUUGGGACUGAGACACGGCCCAAACUCCUACGGGAGGCAGCAGUAGGGAAUCUUCGGCAAUGGACGAAAGUCUGACCGAGCAACGCCGCGUGAGUGAAGAAGGUUUUCGGAUCGUAAAACUCUGUUGUUAGAGAAGAACAAGGAUGAGAGUAACUGUUCAUCCCUUGACGGUAUCUAACCAGAAAGCCACGGCUAACUACGUGCCAGCAGCCGCGGUAAUACGUAGGUGGCAAGCGUUGUCCGGAUUUAUUGGGCGUAAAGCGAGCGCAGGCGGUUUCUUAAGUCUGAUGUGAAAGCCCCCGGCUCAACCGGGGAGGGUCAUUGGAAACUGGGAGACUUGAGUGCAGAAGAGGAGAGUGGAAUUCCAUGUGUAGCGGUGAAAUGCGUAGAUAUAUGGAGGAACACCAGUGGCGAAGGCGGCUCUCUGGUCUGUAACUGACGCUGAGGCUCGAAAGCGUGGGGAGCAAACAGGAUUAGAUACCCUGGUAGUCCACGCCGUAAACGAUGAGUGCUAAGUGUUGGAGGGUUUCCGCCCUUCAGUGCUGCAGCUAACGCAUUAAGCACUCCGCCUGGGGAGUACGACCGCAAGGUUGAAACUCAAAGGAAUUGACGGGGGCCCGCACAAGCGGUGGAGCAUGUGGUUUAAUUCGAAGCAACGCGAAGAACCUUACCAGGUCUUGACAUCCUUUGACCACUCUAGAGAUAGAGCUUCCCCUUCGGGGGCAAAGUGACAGGUGGUGCAUGGUUGUCGUCAGCUCGUGUCGUGAGAUGUUGGGUUAAGUCCCGCAACGAGCGCAACCCUUAUUGUUAGUUGCCAUCAUUUAGUUGGGCACUCUAGCAAGACUGCCGGUGACAAACCGGAGGAAGGUGGGGAUGACGUCAAAUCAUCAUGCCCCUUAUGACCUGGGCUACACACGUGCUACAAUGGGAAGUACAACGAGUCGCAAAGUCGCGAGGCUAAGCUAAUCUCUUAAAGCUUCUCUCAGUUCGGAUUGUAGGCUGCAACUCGCCUACAUGAAGCCGGAAUCGCUAGUAAUCGCGGAUCAGCACGCCGCGGUGAAUACGUUCCCGGGCCUUGUACACACCGCCCGUCACACCACGAGAGUUUGUAACACCCGAAGUCGGUGAGGUAACCUUUUGGAGCCAGCCGCCUAAGGUGGGAUAGAUGAUUGGGGUG
rnacentral:rRNA from 1 species